rnacentral:rRNA from 1 species
GAUGAACGCUGGCGGCGUGCUUAACACAUGCAAGUCGAACGAGAAGUGAAGACGGAAACCUUCGGGCGGAAGGCUUUAUUUCGAGUGGCGGACGGGUGAGUAACGCGUGGGUAACCUGCCUCAUACAGGGGGAUAACAGUUGGAAACGACUGUUAAUACCGCAUAAGACCACAGCACCGCAUGGUGCGGGGGUAAAAACUCCGGUGGUAUGAGAUGGACCCGCGUUCGAUUAGCCAGUUGGCGGGGUAACGGCCCACCAAAGCGACGAUCGAUAGCCGAUCUGAGAGGAUGACCGGCCACAUUGGGACUGAGACACGGCCCAAACUCCUACGGGAGGCAGCAGUGGGGAAUAUUGCACAAUGGGGGAAACCCUGAUGCAGCGACGCCGCGUGAGUGAAGAAGUAUUUCGGUAUGUAAAGCUCUAUCAGCAGGGAAGAAAAUGACGGUACCUGAGGAAGAAGCCCCGGCUAACUACGU